AAGCUAAGCGGGGAAAAUGUUGGUAUGUUAAAUGAUGAGCCCAUAAAGUUGAGGGAGGCUGAACACUGCAGCAAAUAUGCCAGUAUGUAAUCACGCCUGUGUCUGAGUGACUGUCAGAUAGAAGGAUAAUUUCCGAAAGCCGUAUGGAGUCUCCAGUUGAGGCUUCGAAGUUGUUUUAGCAAAGCCUGCAUAGCCUUUUUAUAUGCACAUUAACAAACGGCCCUGAUCGAGCAUUGCGUAUAGAAGACUGGACUGGAAUCCCCGUAACUCAUGAAAUCGCUUUUUCAAAAUCGUUGUAUGUUCACUCCUAUAAUUCAUAGCAGAUUCGGAUAGUGGGCUAGUAAGAAAUACUGACAUCAGACAGCGUCGCAUUAUUCUUCGGGGAUUGUCAGAAUCUUAGGAAUUUACUGUUCUGCUUUCAUGCGGCUAGGUCCUGCGAGAGGAUCAGCCAGCUCCAUAAAUGUCCCGAGUAAAAUUUGCCCGUGAGCGGAAUGUGUAGACGAACUGUUCCCAGGAAAAUAAAUUAAAAAUGGACCGGUUGUGUAUCGAACACGAAACGACCGAUUUUGGCAUACACGCGUUUUAUUUCACAAUGCGAUAUUCUCAUUGUAUAAAAAAUGGUCGUUUUAUUAACUGCUAAAGCCGAGCAAACAGGAAAGCGUCCAUUUACUUAUAAAUUUCAGCUGCAUCUUAGUGGCUUUGAGAAAUAUUUAGAACCUUGUCCAUAACAUAUGAUGGUCAUAUUCCUCGACAGAGAUAUCAAGAGCCUGUGAUCCCGGUUCAACUUACUUGCUCUUCCCCACUUUCUUUAUCUCACUGUACAUAAAGUCUAGUUGUCUGACUAAAGUAGUGCACACAUUUACUUGACAAACUCGCAAGUAGUUACCGGUUGUGUUGAGAUCAGUGGCAGCUAAAAUCGAACUCAUACGGCUCAAUUCGCCGGUAAUAGUACAUACAUAUCCAACGUGACUGCCGUGCUGCGUUAACCGUGGUCUACCUCUAACGACGCUCAAGUGCCUGAACGAAGACUGUUACAGACUGUUUCAGAGAUCAACCAUUGGUGUGACCAGACCUAAACCUGUUCCCCCGGGUACCGCCAACAAGCUGCUUUGUUUAUUACCCUAUAUGUUUGUGUACAGAUGUCUUUAAGCACACAUGAUUUUGACUUUUUUUCUUAUCGAGCCGACACAAGGCGUCUGGAUUGAUCCCGGUACCAGUAAUGGAUUCAUCCUUUAUGGAUUAAUCUUGCCGAAGUUGAAAAUCGGGAUCAAAACGGGUUAAGCCAAUGAGAUAGCUGGAUACAAUAAGAGUUCUUAGAGUACACCAAAGCUGGCUAAUUUGGUGGUAAACACUCCAGUACCUUACAAAAAAUAUAAGAUUUACAAUGGACCACGAUUAGUGGUUUGAACUCCAGAAAACUUCCACGUUUGCGCUGAGCUGCGUGCUUCAAUUUUAAAAAUGUUCACAUAAUUUUCGUGGCAGGCCGUACCCAUAUCCGCAUCAGGUCUCCAAGGUGAACAGCCUCUGGCAUUUGAACAAUGUAGGUAAGGGAAGUCGGCAAAUUGGAUCUGUAACUUCGGGAAAAGGAUUGGCUCUGAGGGCCGAGUCAAACGGGCUGAAGUAAGAUACGUGUCGGUCAAGUUGGAGGCUGGUUUCUCUGUUGCCUUGUCUGCUUCGGUGGGUAGGGUUGACGGAGUUACUGGACUCUGACCGGAUCGGUCGUGGGCGACUUCAGCUAACAGAGUUGCUUGGCAAGCGGUGUGCAUGGGUAACUGUGUGCGCAAUGCGGUCUUGCUCUCUUCGUCUGGCGUUCAACGGCUAACUCAGAACUGGCACGGACCAGAGGAAUCCGACUGUCUAAUUAAAACAAAGCAUUGCGAUGUCCACUGAUCGGUUUUGACGCAAUGUGAUUUCUGCCCAGUGCUCUGAAUGUCAAAGUGAAGAAAUUCAAUCAAGCGCGGGUAAACGGCGGGAGUAACUAUGACUCUCUUAAGGUAGCCAAAUGCCUCGUCAUCUAAUUAGUGACGCGCAUGAAUGGAUUAACGAGAUUCCUACUGUCCCUAUCUACUAUCUAGCGAAACCACAGCCAAGGGAACGGGCUUGGCAGAAUUAGCGGGGAAAGAAGACCCUGUUGAGCUUGACUCUAGUCCGACUUUGUGAGGAGACAUGACGGGUGUAGAAUAAGUGGGAGACCGGUCCUUCGGGGCUUGUCGACAGUGAAAUACCACCACCGUCAUUGUUUCUUUGCUUAUUCAGUAAAACGGGAAAUCGAUUUUGGUUCUAAGCACAUGCUGGCGUCCGUGGCGUAUGCUGCGGGGGUUGGUAUCUUGGUCAUGUCAGAGUAGUCGUGGUCUCGGCCGCGGCGUUUGAGUCUGAUUGUGAUGUGCGACCCGUUCUGAAGACAAUGUCAGGCGGGGAGUAUGAAGACGACUGGNAGGAGUACCGGGUACGCAUACCUGAUGAGCGGCAACAACCGCGAAACCGGUCGUGUGCUUCCGGGGAAAUUUUGUCCACACGUUAACAUACUACUUACUAUAAAUAUAUAUAACGAUACGAAGUUCUCAGUGCUCGUCAGUUAUUUAUUCAACCAUCCCACCGAGGACGAGUUUGGACAUGAGAACUUCCUCGGAAUUAAACGCUACUCUUUUGAGAAAACUUGAACACAGUUAUUUCGAUUGACAAUUUACGAGUGUCUUGGAUACCGUCGUCUCUCUCUCUCUCUCUCUCUCUCUCUCUCUUCCUUUCUCUCUACAGCCGAGCAUGACUAUCACGCUACCGGUGAAAAAGGAGGACCAGUUGAGAUGUAACUGUUGUGUUGACGCUACUUAGUCCACUGGUGUAUUGAUAUUCCACCUGGAGCUCCAAGCCGAUUUCAAAGCCUGCGCACCUCGGUGUUAUCAUUAACUUUGACCUUUCUCAGUCUGAACAUUUCGCCACAGCCUUCCUGGAAAUAAUACGGUUUACUAUUUGUUUGACGACUCAAGUAGUUUGUCUCUCUCUCUCUCUCUCUCUCUCCCGCUUCACCCAAAAUUUUGUUUCAUCCCGCCUUCUAUCUCGCUGACACUACAACUGCGUACUAUUCCCUGCAACUUUUGUUAAGGACUUUAAACGAGUAUUCUAAUCCCUGAAGCAUGCAUCUACGUAGUGACA
rnacentral:rRNA from 1 species